UACGUAGGGUGCGAGCGUUGCCCGGAUUUAUUGGGCGUAAAGGGCGCGUAGGCGCUACGCACGUCCGUUGUGAAAUCGCUCGGCUCAACUGGGCGGGGUCAGCGGAUACGGCGUAGCUGGAGCAAGCUAGGGGGCAAUGGAAUUCCCGGUGUAGUGGUGGAAUGCGUAGAUAUCGGGAGGAACACCAGUGGCGAAGGCGGUUGCCUGGAGCUUUGCUGACGCUGAUGCGCGAAAGCGUGGGGAGCAAACAGG
rnacentral:rRNA from 1 species